GAAACAUGAAGCUCAACAAAAAGCUGCUAACUUUUUCUUUUAAUGGUUAAAUUCCAUUUAUAUUUCU
rnacentral:tRNA from 1 species